rnacentral:rRNA from 1 species
GAUGAACGCUGACAGAAUGCUUAACACAUGCAAGUCGAUGGGGAAGUGGUGCUUGCACCAUGGCAACCAUGGCGGACGGGUGAGUAACGCGUAAGGGACUUACCUGCAGGACUGGGAUAACAGGGGGAAACUCCUGACAAGACCGGAUAAUGUCAUGGAGCUGCAUGGCUUUAUGAUGAAAGGAGACGCCUGCGGAGAGCCUUGCGUCCUAUUAGCUAGUUGGUGAGGUAAUGGCUCACCAAGGCGAAGAUAGGUAGCCGGCCUGAGAGGGUGGACGGCCACAAGGGGACUGAGAUACGGCCCUUACUCCUACGGGAGGCAGCAGUGGGGAAUAUUGGACAAUGGGGGCAACCCUGAUCCAGCAAUUCUGUGUGCACGAAGAAGGUUUUCGGAUUGUAGAGUGCUUUCAGCAGGGAAGAAGUAGGUGACGGUACCUGCAGAAGAAGCGACGGCUAAAUACGUG